rnacentral:rRNA from 1 species
CAGCAGCCGCGGUAAUACGGAGGGGGCUAGCGUUGUUCGGAAUUACUGGGCGUAAGGCGUACGUAGGCGGCUUUGUAAGUUAGGGGUGAAAGCCUGGAGCUCAACUCCAGAAUUGCCUUUAAGACUGCAUCGCUUGAACGUCGGAGAGGUGAGUGGAAUUCCGAGUGUAGAGGUGAAAUUCGUAGAUAUUCGGAAGAACACCAGUGGCGAAGGCGGCUCACUGGACGACUGUUGACGCUGAGGUACGAAAGCGUGGGGAGCAAACAGGAUUAGAUACCCCUGUAGUCCCUGUCUCUUAUAC